rnacentral:rRNA from 1 species
GUCAUGGCUCAGGAUGAACGCUAGCGACAGGCUUAACACAUGCAAGUCGAGGGGCAGCACAGGUAGCAAUACCGGGUGGCGACCGGCGCACGGGUGAGUAACGCGUAUGCAACUUACCUAUCAGAGGGGGAUAACCCGGCGAAAGUCGGACUAAUACCGCAUGAAGCAGGGGCCCCGCAUGGGGAUAUUUGCUAAAGAUUCAUCGCUGAUAGAUAGGCAUGCGUUCCAUUAGG